GUUCUUGCUUCGGCAGUACAUAUGCUAAAACUGGAAUGACAUAGAGAAGCUUAGCAUGGCCCCUGUAUAAGGAUGACACAACCAAUUCAUGAAGUGUUCUAUGUGAAA
ensembl:snRNA U6 U6 spliceosomal RNA